rnacentral:rRNA from 1 species
AGAGUUUGAUCAUGGCUCAGAACGAACGCUGGCGGCGUGGAUAAGACAUGCAAGUCGAACGAGACUUUUCGUUGUAGCAAUACGAUGGAAAGUUUAGUGGCGAACGGGUGCUUAACACGUGGGCAACCUGCCAUGAAGUGGGGGAUAGCUCGCCGAAAGGCGAAUUAAUACCGCAUGUGAUUAGAAAGGACAUCCUUUCGAAAUUAGAGUCGGGGCAACCUGACGCUUCUUGUGGGGCCCGCGGCCUAUCAGCUAGUUGGUGAGGUAACGGCUCACCAAGGCUUUGACGGGUAGCUGGUCUGAGAGGACGACCAGCCACACUGGGACUGAGACACGGCCCAGACACCUACGGGUGGCAGCAGUCGAGAAUCUUUGACAAUGGGGGAAACCCUGAUCGAGCGACGCCGCGUGGAGGAUGAAGGUCUUCGGAUUGUAAACUCCUGUCAUUUGGGAACAAGGUGCACAUGUUAACUGUAUGUGCAUUGAUAGUACCAGAAGAGGAAGAGACGGCUAACUCUGUGCCAGCCGCCGCGGUAAUUC